ensembl:lncRNA
UUAUUAUACGGCUCAGCUGUAUUGCUCUCACAGCCGUCUUCCAACCUUUACUUGGCAGCUCCAGCUGAGUGGAGGCUGAAUGGCAUGUGUUGACAUUGUUAAAGACACACGUGAGGACCUCACACGUUUCAUGUCUGAGUCAAGCAAGGGGCAUGUUGGAAAAGAUGGGGUGGGGGUGCAGUUUGUCAUAUCAUUGCCUCACCUGCAAUAUCUUGAGGCGGUUGCACAGUGUUGUGCUCCAGUCCAGAGAUGAUGUCUAAGUCGUGCUGGUUAGUGACGGUAAACAAGAGCAGCAGAUGGACGAGACCAAACUUCACACAAACACACACACUGCCAUCUUCUUUUACUUGUCAUGUCUCCCUGGAUAUCAAAUCAGCAUAAAUGUGUAACAAAGAGAGAAGGGAUGUCUCAUUGAUGGGUGCAUGAAAUCACCUUUGCUGUGCUGUGUGUUUGUGAGGGAAAUGGGGGUAGUGGUAGUAACAGCAGCAGCAGCAGUAGAGGUGGCUUGGGGUGAGGUCCUGCCCUGAUUUUCUCUGGAAUUCCUUUGCUUUUGGAAGCCAGAACGAGUGGAAACCAAAUCUGGGUAGCCUGAGGGUCUCUCCUUCUUGAGUAUUCUCCACGCAUAUCCCUCUGCUGCCAUCUCUGACGGCUUUUUAGGGGUAGCUCUGUUUUCAAAGCUCGCAACAGCCAAGGUGUUAUUCACCUUCCAGAGAAAGGAGACGGAGAGAGGCAUGCAAAAAAAAAAAAAAAAAAAAAAAAUCAGAUGACUGCACCAGGAAAACCAUCUCAGGCCUGGAGGGACCGGCGCUGCUCAAACAUAAAUUUUCUCCAUGUUUCAGACACGGAAAUGAAAGUCAAAUGUAGAGCCUGUCACUCAGGGCACAAAAGAUACCUUCCAAUGAAUAUGGAUGAAAAACCGAGGACAGUCAUCAAUGAGCAAAAGGCCUUUGAAUAAAAACUGAAAAAAUCUGAGAUGUGCGCAGCAAAUGAAAGGUCUACGAAACCACAG